rnacentral:rRNA from 1 species
GAUGAACGCUGGCGGCGUGCCUAAUACAUGCAAGUCGAGCGAACGGACGAGAAGCUUGCUUCUCUGAUGUUAGCGGCGGACGGGUGAGUAACACGUGGAUAACCUACCUAUAAGACUGGGAUAACUUCGGGAAACCGGAGCUAAUACCGGAUAAUAUUUUGAACCGCAUGGUUCAAAAGUGAAAGACGUUCUUGCUGUCACUUAUAGAUGGAUCCCGGCUGCAUUAGCUAGUUGUUAGUGUAACGGCUUACCAAGGCAACGAUGCAUAGCCGACCUGAGAGGGCGGUCGGCCACACUGGAACUGAGACACGGUCCAGACUCCUACGGGAGGAAGCAUUAGGGAAUAUUCCGAAAUGGGCGAAAGCCUAACGGAGCAACGCCGCGUGGGAGAUGAAGGUCUUCGGAUCGUAAACCUCUGUUAUUAGGGAAGAACAUAUGUGUAAGUAACUGUGCACAUCUUGACGGUACCUAAUCAGAAAGCCACGGCUAACUACGUG